AACUCCGUGAUAGCUGGUUCUCCCCGAAAUGCAUUUAGGUGCAGCGUUGCGUGGUCCCUGGUGGAGGUAGAGCUACUGGAUGGCCGAUGGGCCCUGUGGGUUACUGACGUCAGCCAAACUCCGAAUGCCAUUAGGUGUAGCGCGGCAGUGAGACUGCGGGGGAUAAGCUUCGUAGUCGAGAGGGAAACAGCCCAGAUCAUCAGCUAAGGCCCCUAAGCGUACGCUAAGUGGGAAAGGAUGUGGAGUCGCGGUGACAACCAGGAGGUUGGCUUAGAAGCAGCCAUCCUUGAAAGAGUGCGUAAUAGCUCACUGGUCAAGUGAUUCUGCGCCGAUAAUGUAGCGGGGCUCAAGUACACCGCCGAAGUUGUGGCAAUGAUCUUUUUGGAUUGUUGGGUAGGGGAGCGUCGUGUGGCCGUUGAAGCUGCGGUGUAAACCAGUGGUGGAGGCUAUGCGAGUGAGAAUGCAGGCAUGAGUAGCGAAAGAUGAGUGAGAAACUCAUCCGCCGGAUGAUCAAGGGUUCCAGGGUCAAGUUAAUCUGCCCUGGGUUAGUCGGGGCCUAAGGCGAGGCCGACAGGCGUAGUCGAUGGAUAACGGGUUGAUAUUCCCGUACCGGUGAAGAACCGCCCAUACUGAUAUUGUGAUGCUAACCAUGCGAAGCAUGAUGUGCAGGCUUUUGUUUGUGUGUUGUGUGGGUUGUGGGACCCGAUCUUUGGAGGUAAACGUGUUAACAGGUGUGACGCAGGAAGGUAGCCAAGCCACGCGAUGGUUGUCGUGGUCUAAGCGUGUAGGGUUGUCGGUUGUUAAAUGCGCCGGCUGUGUGCCUGAGACGUGAUGGGACCCUGUUUUUGGGGGAUUUGGUGAUCCUAUGCUGCCGAGAAAAGCAUCGGCGUGAGGUUUUAGCCGCCCGUACCCUAAACCGACACAGGUGAUCAGGUAGAGAAUACUAAGGCGAUCGAGAGAAUCAUGGUUAAGGAACUCGGCAAAAUGCCCCCGUAACUUCGGGAGAAGGGGGGCCCUGAGCGUGAUCUGCCCGUGCGGUGGGGAGCGUGUAGGGGUCGCAGAGACCAGGGGGAAGCGACUGUUUAUCAAAAACACAGGUCCGUGCGAAGUCGUAAGACGAUGUAUACGGACUGACUCCUGCCCGGUGCUGGAAGGUUAAGAGGAUUGGUUAGCCUUUUUUGGGCGAAGCUGAGAAUUUAAGCCCCAGUAAACGGCGGUGGUAACUAUAACCAUCCUAAGGUAGCGAAAUUCCUUGUCGGGUAAGUUCCGACCUGCACGAAUGGCGUAACGACUUCUCCGCUGUCUCAACCGCGAACUCGGUGAAAUUGCAGUACGAGUAAAGAUGCUCGUUUCGCGCAGAAGGACGGAAAGACCCCGGGACCUUUACUAUAGCUUGGUAUUGGUGUUCGCUUGGACUUGUGUAGGAUAGGUGGGAGACUGUGAAGCUGCCGCGCCAGCGGUGGUGGAGUCGUCGUUGAAAUACCAUUCUGGUUCAAGCGGUCACCUCAACCUUGGCCCGUGAUCCGGGUUGGGGACAGUGCCUGGUGGGUAGUUUAACUGGGGCGGUUGCCUCCUAAAAUGUAACGGAGGCGCUCAAAGGUUCCCUCAGCCUGGUUGGUAAUCAGGUGGCGAGUGCAAGUGUACAAGGGAGCUUGACUGUGAGACCGACGGGUCGAGCAGGUGCGAAAGCAGGAACUAGUGAUCCGGCCAUGGCACGUGGGUGCGUGGUCGCUCAACGGAUAAAAGGUACCCCGGGGAUAACAGGCUGAUCUUGCCCAAGAGUCCAUAUCGACGGCAUGGUUUGGCACCUCGAUGUCGGCUCGUCGCAUCCUGGGGCUGGAGUCGGUCCCAAGGGUUGGGCUGUUCGCCCAUUAAAGCGGUACGCGAGCUGGGUUCAGAACGUCGUGAGACAGUUCGGUCCCUAUCCUCUGUGCGCGCAGGAAAUUUGAGAAGGGCCGUCCCUAGUACGAGAGGACCGGGAUGGACGAACCUCUGGUGUGCCAGUUGUACCGCCAGGUGCAUGGCUGGUUGGCUACGUUCGGAAGGGAUAACCGCUGAAAGCAUCUAAGCGGGAAGCCUGCUUCAAGAUGAGAUUUCCACGCCCCCCCUGU
rnacentral:rRNA from 1 species